ensembl:lncRNA
GGGGCAGACACAGACAUACAGAGAGACAGGGAGAAUGACAGACAGACAGACAGACAGGGAGAAUGACAGACAGACAGGGAGACAGAGAGGGAGAUGGAGGGGGCAGACACAGACAUACAGAGAGACAGGGAGAAUGACAGACAGACAGACUGGGAGAAUGACAGACAGACAGGGAGACAGAGAGGGAGAUGGAGGGGGCAGACACAGACAUACAGAGAGACAGGGAGAAUGACAGACAGGGAGAAUGACAGACAGAGAGGGAGAUGGAGGGGGCAGACACAGACAUACAGAGAGACAGGGAGAAUGACAGACAGACAGACAGACUGGGAGAAUGACAGACAGACAGACAGACAGACAGGGAGAAUGACAGACAGACAGGGAGACAGAGAGGGAGAUGGAGGGGGCAGACACAGACAUACAGAGAGACAGGGAGAAUGACAGACAGACAGACUGGGAGAAUGACAGACAGA